AGUAACACGUGAGUGACCUGCCUUUUAGACUGGAACAACUUACCGAAAGGUGAGCUAAUGCCGGAUGAGUUAUAUAAGUGCAUGUUUAUAUAGGAAAAGUUGGGGAGACCUGACGCUGAAAGAUGGACUCGCGUCCCAUUAGCUAGUUGGUAGGGUAAUGGCCUACCAAGGCGACGAUGGGUAGCCGGCCUGAGAGGGUGGCCGGCCACAUUGGGACUGAGACACGGCCCAGACUCCUACGGAAGGCAGCAG
rnacentral:rRNA from 1 species